GCGCCCAUAGCUCAGCUGGAUAGAGCGUACCCCUCCGGAGGGUAAGGCCGAAGGUUCGAAUCCUUCUGGGCGCACCA
rnacentral:tRNA from 55 species